rnacentral:rRNA from 1 species
UACGUAGGUGGCAAGCGUUGUCCGGAUUUACUGGGCGUAAAGCGUGCGCAGGCGGUUCUACAAGUCCGAUGUGAAAGCCCCGGGCUCAACCUGGGAAUGGCAUUGGAAACUGGCGAGCUUGAGUGUGGCAGAGGGGGGUGGAAUUCCGCGUGUAGCAGUGAAAUGCGUAGAGAUGCGGAGGAACACCGAUGGCGAAGGCAGCCCCCUGGGCUGACACUGACGCUCAGGCACGAAAGCGUGGGGAGCAAACAGG